AAUAUUAUCAUUCAAACAUAGCAGUUCUUCUGUUUAACAGCUCUUCAAUCAUAACUGUUUGUACCUUGCCAGUCAUUAUAUUAGUGCGCAUGACGAAUAUUCACAUGCUAAGAACGUUUCCAAUUUAAAUUCAAGAAAAUCUUUUUUUAAUUGUCAAAAUGAAUAUAAUAUUUUCAAGUUGUGCGAUUAUCGUAUUUUUGUUAAGUGCAUCGGAACAAACAUAUUUUUUAAAUAAAAACUACAUAAAUACAAUUAAUAAUAAUGCAAAUUCUUGGAAGGCUGGCACCAACUUUCACCCGGAAACACCUUUGAAAUUCAUAUUAGGACUUUUGGGGUCAAAGGGUGUAAGAGUCUUGUCUACGGGUGCAUAUAAAUCGCAAGACCCGCUGUACAAGUCUAAUGCAAGUAUUCCGAUAGAAUUUGACGCGAGAAAACGAUGGAAGAACUGUACGACGAUCGGGACGAUUCGUGAUCAAGGCAACUGUGGCUCAUGUUGGGCGUUCAGCACUUCUGGAGCGUUUGCCGACCGCAUGUGUAUAGCUUCAAAUGGGACAUUCAAUGAACUACUAUCAGCCGAACAAGUUACGUCUUGUUGUUACCGAUGUGGUUUAGGUUGUCAAGGAGGUUAUCCGAUCAGAGCUUGGCGACAUUACUACAAACAUGGCCUGGUCACUGGAGGAAACUUUAACUCGUUUCAAGGAUGUCAGCCGUACACGUUUCCACCUUGUUCGGGAAACAAUUCAUGUAGCAACCAAACGGAAAAAAAUCACAAAUGCCAAAAAAAAUGCUACGGAAAUACAACUAUUUCCUAUAGAAAUGAUCACAGAUAUAUUAAAGAUCCACCAUAUUACUUGGAUUACAAUUCUAUACAAUACGAUAUAAUAAACUAUGGACCGGUCGAGGCGUCUUUUGAAGUGUACGAUGAUUUUCUUUCGUACAAGUCAGGUGUUUACUCGGUAUCGCCUAACGCCACGUAUUUGGGAGGCCAUUCCGUGAAGUGUAUUGGAUGGGGAGUCGAAAAAAACGUGCCGUACUGGUUGAUGAUGAAUUCAUGGAACGAAACGUGGGGCGACAGAGGAUAUUUUAAAAUUCGUCGGGGAACGAAUGAGUGCAAAGUCGAUAAUUCAACAUCUGCUGGAAUACCCGAAUAUUAUUCAUAAGUAUACCUAGCUUGCAUAAAGAUUUGAUAUCACCGCUAUUCCCUCCCGCCGGUGCGGUAUCUGCGUCCAUUAGCGAUUACAACCAACGACAAGAAUAUCAAUUAUACAAAGCAUUUUAAAAUACACAUUUGUAUCAGAUUUUGUUUUAUACUAUAUAUUAUAAUAUAAAAUAUAAAUUAAUGUAAAACUA